rnacentral:rRNA from 1 species
CUCUUGCCCUCCCCCUAUAAGAGGUCCCGCCUGCCCUGUGACUAUAUGUUUAACGGCCGCGGUAUUUUAACCGUGCGAAGGUAGCGUAAUCACUUGUCUUUUAAAUGAAGACCUGUAUGAAUGGCAUCACGAGGGCUUAACUGUCUCCCCCCUCCAGUCAAUGAAAUUGACCUCCCCGUGCAGAGGCGGGGAUUAAAACAUAAGACGAGAAGACCCUGUGGAGCUUAAGACCUAAUAUAAUUUAUGUUUAGUAUACUAGAAAUAUCAGCUUAAACUUAAUAAUAAUUAUUGAAGUGUCUUUGGUUGGGGCGACCGCGGGGUACAACAAAACCCCCACGUGGACCGGGAGAACUACUCCUAGCACCCAGAGCCGCUACUCCAAGUAACAGAAAUUCUGACUUUCAUGAUCCGGUAUAACCGAUCAACGGACCGAGUUACCCCAGGGAUAACAGCGCAAUCCUCUCUCAGAGCCCAUAUCGACGAGGGGGUUUACGACCUCGAUGUUGGAUCAGGACAUCCUAAUGGUGCAGCCGCUAUUAAGGGUUCGUUUGUUCAACGAUUAAAUCC